rnacentral:rRNA from 1 species
AGCCUACCAGCUAGCCCUCGUCAAAGCAAAAACAACAAACCCAUAUUAAUAAACCCUAAUACACUAACACUUACCUAAACAAAUCAUUUUUCCCCCCUAGUACGGGCGACAGAAAAGGGAACACGGAGCAAUAGAGAAAGUACCGCAAGGGAAAACUGAAAGAGAAAUGAAAAAAACCAGUAAAGCCAGGAUAAGCAGAGAUUUAAGCUCGUACCUUUUGCAUCAUGAUUUAGCCAGCACUAAAUAAGCAAAAAGCCCUUUAGUUUAUUACCCCGAAACUAAGUGAGCUACUCCAAGACAGCCUGUUAAUAGGGCAAACCCGUCCCUGUGGCAAAAGGGUGGGAAGAGCUUUGAGUAGAGGUGACAGACCUACCGAACCUAGUUAUAGCUGGUUGCCCGAGAAUUGGAUAGAAGUUCAGCCCCGCAGUUUUUUUAAUCACUUCCGUCUAACCCCUCCUGACACCCGAAGAAACCGCGAGAGUUAGUCAAAGGGGGUACAGCCCCUUUGAAACAAGACACAACUUUCCCAGGAGGGUAAAGAUCAUAAUAAAUAAGGUUUCAUGUUAUGGUGGGCUUAAAAGCAGCCAUCCCAAUAGAAAGCGUUAAAGCUCAGACAUGCUAUUAUCCCCUAUUAUUCCGACAAUUAAAUCUUAGCCCCCUAACCUUACCGGGCCUUCCCAUGCCCUACAUGGGAGCGACCAUGCUAAUAUGAGUAAUAAGGGGGCCAGAGGCCCCCUCCUUGCACACGUGUAAAUCGAAAUGGACUAACCAUCGAACUUUAACGGCCCCAAACAGAGAGGGUAAUGAACAACAUAUUAAAUAACCAGAAAACCAUCCAAUAAAAUCUACCGUUAAACCCACACUGGUGUGCCCUCAAGGAAAGACUAAAAAGAAAAGAAGGAACUCGGCAAACACUUAGAGCCUCGCCUGUUUACCAAAAACAUCGCCUCUUGCAAAAUUAAAAAAUAAGAGGUCCCGCCUGCCCUGUGACUUUAUGUUUAACGGCCGCGGUAUUUUGACCGUGCGAAGGUAGCGAAAUCACUUGUCUCUUAAAUGGGGACCUGUAUGAAUGGCACAACGAGGGCUCAACUGUCUCCUUUUCUAGGUCAAUGAAAUUGAUCUCCCCGUGCAGAAGCGGGGAUACAACCAUAAGACGAGAAGACCCUAUGGAGCUUUAGACACCCGAACGCAGGCCAUGUCAAAAACCCCCUAACAAAGAAUUAAACAACUAAGCCUGCCCAUAUGUCUUUGGUUGGGGCGACCAUGAGGCAACAAAUAACCCUCACGUGGAUUUGGGAGUUUUCCCUCCUACAACUAAGAGCUCCAGCUCUAAUGAACAGAACUUCUGACCAAUCAGAUCCGGCAACGCCGAUCAACGAACCGAGUUACCCUAGGGAUAACAGCGCAAUCCCCUUUUAGAGUCCAUAUCGACAAGAGGGUUUACGACCUCGAUGUUGGAUCAGGACAUCCUAAUGGUGCAGCCGCUAUUAAGGGUUCGUUUGUCAACG